AUCUCUAUUGAAGCAAGAAGACCCCCUGAAUUUAAGCAUAUAAUUAAGGGGAGGAAAAGAAACCAACUCGGAUUCCCCUAGUAAUGGCGAGUGAAGCGGGAAGAGCUCAUGUUGUAAAUCUCCAGCUUGCUGGCGAAUUGUAGUCUAAAGGUGCGUGCUCAGUCGUGGUCCCGGGCUAAGUCUGUUGGAAAACAGCAUCAUGGACGGUGACAAUCCGGUUCUUGCCUGGGGUCCCGCGGCGUACGAGCCGUUUCCGACGAGUCGUGUUGCUUGGGAUUGCAGCACUAAGUGGGUGGUAAAUUCCAUCUAAAGCUAAAUAUUGGUGGGAGACCGAUAGCGAACAAGUACCGUGAGGGAAAGAUGAAAAGACUUUUGAAAAGAGAGUAAAAUAGUACCUGAAACUGCUGAAAGGGAAGCGAUUGAAGUCAGUGUUGCUCCUGGUCUUUUUGCCGUCGCCCCCGUGGGGGUUGCGGCGUGGGGCCUGGAGCGUUUCAACAUGCGUUCUGUUCCGCGGGAAAUGUUCAGUGUGCUGGAACCUUCGGGGAAACGCACUGUUCUUGUCGUGGUUAGGACGGAGGACCUUUGCUCCUUUGACUGCGCGUUCCUCUCUCGGGUAUGCUGGUGUCUACUGCUUGCAGUUUUCAUUUUCAUGCUUGCGACUGUGCGUGUUAUUCAUGAGCGAACAUGAUGUUGAAGAAAUGGCUUUAAUUACCCCGUCUUGAAACACGGACCAAGGAGUCUAACAUGUAUGCGAGCCGGUGGGUUUAACACCCAUGAGACGCAAGUAACCUGACUGGUGGGAUGGCUUAUGCCUGCACCAUCGACCGACCAUGAUCUUCUGUGAAAGGUUUGAGUACGAGCAUACCUGUUGGGACCCGAAAGAUGGUGAACUAUGCCUGAAUAGGGCGAAGCCAGGGGAAACUCUGGUGGAGGCUCGUAGAUGUGCUGACGUGCAAAUCGCUUUUCGGACUUGGGUAUAGGGGCGAAAGACUAAUCGAACCAUCUAGUAGCUGGUUCCCUCCGAAGUUUCCCCCAGGAUAGCUGGAGCUUGAUCAGUUUUAUCGGGUAAAGCGAAUGAUUAGAGGUACCGGGGAUGAAACAUCCUCGACCUAUUCUCAAACUUUAAAUAGGUAAGACGUCUGGGUUGCUUAAUUGAACCCAGGCAUUCAAUGAGAGCUCCAAGUGGGCCAUUUUUGGUAAGCAGAACUGGCGAUGCGGGAUGAACCGAAAGCUGAGUUAAGGCGCCCAACUGCGCGCUAACCUAGAUCCCACAAAGGGUGUUGAUUCAUAUAGACAGCAGGACGGUGGUCAUGGAAGUCGAAACCCGCUAAGGAGUGUGUAACAACUCACCUGCCGAAUGAAUUAGCCCCGAAAAUGGAUGGCGCUGAAGCGCGCGGCCUAUACUCAGCCAUGGGGACAAGUGCGAGGUCCCCAUGAGUAGGAGGGCGUGGGUGUCGUGGGAAAGCCUGCGGCGUGAGCCGGGGUGGAACGGCACCUGGUGCAGAUCUUGGUGGUAGUAGCAACUAUUCAAAUGAGAACUUUGAAGACUGAAGCGGAGAAAGGUUCCAUGUGAACAG
rnacentral:rRNA from 1 species